rnacentral:tRNA from 1 species
AGCCCUCUGGUUCAAUGGUAGAACGACAGGUUUUGAGCCUGUAAGUCAAGGUUCGAUUCCUUGGAGGGCUU